ACGAGGAAAUCAUUUUUCAAGAUGUUGCGGAAGAUGGUGUGAUACGUGCACCGGAUUUUACUCCAACAUGUGCUGUGUUCAACGUUACCUACUUGGGAGGUCACCUCAAUGUUGCGGAUGAAGACAAUCUCCCCGAAGACGAGAGAUAUGGAAAUACCUCAGACUAUGUGCUCCGGACGACCGCGCUCAUGAAAGAAAACGAGACUACUUGCUGGGAGAAAUUGCAGAAUAUAAGCAGAGAAACGGGAAAGAAUAUAACAAUUUGUACUUGGAAAUAUCACGAAGGGUACUAUUGGACACAUGACAAACCAAAAUAAGCCUCAAUUGAAAUUCUGUUACAGUCUCUUAUCUCUGCAAAAUAUUUUUGCGUGCUUCUCCAGGACCUCUUUGUCAAUUAUUGUGAAUUCUGUACACAAGAUUCAUGGCUCCAUAAGAAAAAUGAAAAUAUUUUAAUAACAUUGUACUAGACGAAAAUAAACUUGAACAGUAUUCAGCAAGCAAGAAAGUUAUCAUGUUCUCUUGUUAAAAAGUCGGCCAAGAAACCAUUUGGCCACACACGUUGCACAAAUAGUAUUGCUUACGCAUAGGAAAAAAAAAACAUUACACUAGUCAUCAUUCUGAACAAAAUACUCGAUGGUGAUCAGAAAUAAUCUACAGACAACCUUCUAUGAUAUCUUUAGGAUUCAAGAUCAUCAUUCACGUAUCAAUACGGGCGACUUUCAAACACAAAUAGUACUAACGAUGCAUCCUACUUCUCUUGGAAAUGGUGACUAGGGGGAUUGAAGUCAUUGCUGCUUCUAACUUGUUAAAUUACAUUCAUUGGUAGAAGAGGUGGCGGGAAAAUCUAAUCAAUUACGUUAGUCGGAUGUAUUAUCCUCCUCUCUCUAAAUUAUGUUUUCUUUCCCAGUUACCAUAGAAAGUUGGACUGAGAAUUCUGCACUA